rnacentral:snoRNA from 1 species
CGAAAUUUGUUCCUUUCAAAACGUUGAAUUUCAGUUUUGGAAUUUUAAAAUUUCGAAAAUCGAAUUAAGCUAAACUUCACACGCGAAUGUUUCAAGUCUUACAUUCAGCGUUUAUGCAUUUAGCUACAUUU